rnacentral:rRNA from 1 species
AUAUUACUAAGCGGAGGAAAAGAAACUAACAAGGAUUCCCUCAGUAACUGCGAGUGAACAGGGAACAGCUCAAGGUUUAAAUCUGUGCUAUACAGGUACAGAGUUGUAACCUAGAGGCCUUUUAGGGAAUGCAUUUCUCUCGCAUAAGUCCCUUAAAAAGGGCGUCAUAGUGGGUAAAAACCCCGUGUUUGGCGAGUGAAGGCUGUACCGAAGGGCUCUAAGAGUCGGGUUGUUUGGGACUGCAGCCCUAAAUGGGAGAUAAACUUCUUCUAAAGCUAAAUAAUUAUGGGAGACCGAUAGCGCACAAGUA